GUCGUCGACAUAAUCCAUGAGUUUUAAAUACUAAAUCGAAUUGCUGUUAACAUUAUCGAUUAGCCUACGAAUGUAAACGAUAUCAAUAUUCCGAAUGAACGAAGUAUCAAUGUCAACUUGAUAACAGGAUGCAGUUGAUGCUUACCACAUUCUAAAAAUUUGAGAUUUAUUGUUGGGCGUUCGUGGAUUUUUUUUAUUCAUGUGACGUUUUCAUAAGAUUUGUACCUGGCGCCCAGCUUGCGGUUAAGACUGAUAAUUGCAUUAAGGGGAAUAUCAUGGCGCGGGCAGCUAUUAAUAGACAACCUGUCUUUAUAAAAACCACAAUGAAUCAUUUAUAAAUAUUAUCGUAAAAGUUUAUAACAUUGCACCUAAUACAAGUGUAUGACGAAUUAGACGCAAAUAUUUGGAAAUUUGAAUAAAAAGGGGCAAGCAAAUGAGUAAGCCACUGUGUGUAACUCUGAGAGCU